CUGCACGGCUUGUGAGGGUGUGCCACAGCGUGGUCCUGGGCACUCAGAGAUGUCCCCUGCACUGACCUGGGGGCCUGGCUGCUGGGCAGGCCGGGGCACGGUCAGCUCCUGCCUCUGGGAGGGUCUCACCAUCUCCAGCUCCAGUGACCUCCCGGGGUCUGGGAAUUGGGGCCAGCACUUCUAGACCUUUCCUUUGCACACCAUCCUUUGGGCCACCAGCCCCUCAGGCUCCUUCUGUCACACACUGUCACAGGUGUGGAGAGUGCUGCUCCAUCCCAGGGCUGAAGGCAGGAGCGUGUGCAGGCCGUCAGGGGACGAGGUCGUGUUUCUGUCUGACAGACCUAGGUGCCCACAGACGGACGUGCCCGGCUGACAGACCUAGGUGCCCACAGACGGACGUGCCCGGCUGACAGACGUACGUACUUAGCUGACAGACAUAUGUGCCUGGCUGACGGACCUACGUGUCUAGCUGACGGAUGUUCCUGCCCAGCUGACAGACGUACCUGCCCAGCUGACAGAUGGACGUGCCCAGCUGAUAGACGGACGUGCCCGGCUGACGGAUGUACCUGCCCAGCUGACAGAUGGACGUGCCCGGCUGACUAAGUUCCUGGCUGAUGGGUGUGCGUGCCCAGCUGACAGACGUGUGCGCCUGGCCGACGUACAUGCCUGCCUGGCUGACCUGUGUUGGUGCUUGGGUGCUUCCGUCUCAAGGAGUGCCUGCAGCCUCGUGUGCCGGUCCCCUUUUGCAGCAGUGGUGACGUCCACUAACACCUGCUCUGUGCACCUCCUGAGAGUCCACACCAAACCAGCAGAGGCCGUGGCCCUGCUCUUGCUGGCCACCCGAGUCCAGCAGCCCUCAGAAGUGCCUGUGCCCCUGCUGCCCUGCGUGGGGACUGUCGGUCUCUCCUGCCUUGAGGGCGGGUGGACGUGGUGUGUCUCAGGUCACUGUCCUCCUCAGUCUUGCCCUUGAGAGCUUUUCAAAACGCAGGCGUAGGGUUCUGCUGCCAGUUCCUCUGCCGUUUCUGGUUUUGCCAGGUUUUGAGAGUGAGUGUGGCCUCAUUUCAGAAGGCCCUUAGCCGUGUGUUGGGGUGACUCCUGUGGCAGCCCCCUGACGAGAACCCUCCCCAACCAUUUUCCUGAGAAGGUGAGCCAGGGUCUAAGCCAACACGGAGCGCCCUGGCUCCACGUCCGUCCUUCUGAAGGGCAGCAGCUGGCGGGGGCCAGGCAGGCGUCUGUCCCGGAGGCACCGUGAGGACGGGUCUUUCGCAGGUCGCACUCGCCUCCUGUGCCUGGGGGUCCUGGGUAGAAGGCGGCCAGCUCCCCAGCCUCUGCCACGGAGGAGGCCCUGGAGUGGGCGGGACCGGGCGGGAGCUGCUGUCCUGUGGUCUCUACACUGUGGAGGCCGCUGUUGGGGGUGACUGGCCACUGGCUGUGGGUCUACAGAGGCGUCCGGCGACCCGCGGGGUCUCCCUGCUGAUGUCCUGUGCAGCGGCGGAGGCCUGUGCACAGCUGGCCCUGCCGUCCUUGCUGCCCUUGCUGACCUCUGAUCCAUGUGGGCUCUCUCUUUUAACCUUUUCUUCCUUUGAGUUCCGAAAGGAGUAACCUACCGGCCUUUUGCUGGAGGAUGUUAUAAAUGGAAAUUCUGUCAUUCCGGCAGCUUUGUGGACUGGAGGAGUGGUGUGUGUGUCACUCGGCCGUGGAGGGAAGCCCAGGUCUCAGCCAGCGCCUGGGGUGCAGGGCAGCGUCCAGGGCCUUCCCGGGUCCUCAGUGCCAGGAGCAGGAGCACCCCCCCCCCGGGCUCACAGGGUGUGACCUCCCAAGUCCACCUGGGCACUGCUCAAGUUCCAGGAGCACCUGGGAUUGAGCGGGUCCCAGGCCCCCAGGGCGAGUGGGGGCUUCGCACAGGGUCCUGUGGCGCUGGCCAGAGCCGCUGUGCCUCUGUCCACCUGCACAGGAGAGCGAGUGCUCCUUUCCCCUUAAAAUCAGAGCCAUGGUCCUCUUGCCUUAGAGUUCCAGAGUUCUAAAGUCUGUGACGUGGCUCUGAAGGGUGGACGAGUAGAUCAUUCUGCAGGCCCACCAGAGAGUUGUGUUUAAAAUAUAGAACGGCCAGACGUAGUUAUGAGGCCUGUUCACAGCAGUCUUGUACUUUGUGCUUGUAUUUUUUUAUAUCAUGGAACGUAUUAAGAGUUCUGAGGUAAAGAUCCCUGCCUAUAAUGAAAAAUUUCAAAUGAAUACCAGAAAUAAAGUCGUAUCCUUCAAAAAUAA